CACCCUCUUCCCAUGUGCUGACCACACACCACCUCUUCCAGGGAGCGGGGAUUCAUCUCUUCGUCUGUUGCGUCCUGUGUCACAGCAGUCAAUUGAGUUGCAGUCUCCAAUAAAUUUUGAAGGCGGAGAACCACAAACCACAUUCCAGCACUCAUGAGGGCCAGCUGAUCUGAGUCACACGCCGAGAGAGAGAGAGAAAGAGAGAGAGGGAGGGACCAGAAAGGAAGGGAGAAACUUCACUACACUCUCUCUGACCUGCUCUCUUCAUGAGUCUUUUGGUGAAAGCUGACAUGGGAGUAAUUCAAUAAGGUCUUCCUUGACAUGACGGACAUUCAUCUGGAGAGCAGUUUCCCUCUGGAUGAUGGACAACUUAAACAGCAACUUGAUGGAAGAAGGAGAGCCUGGUCCUCCUGACAGACCAUCAAAGGCUCAGUCUGAGGACAUCGACAGCGGACCCAGAUGGUCGAAUGGUCAGUGUGUAAUGUCCAUUAUGAGCAGUUCAAUCAUGAGGCCGACCUUUGACCUGGCACAUUGCUCUGAUCAGCUGGCGAGGGAAGGUUUCCAGCAGAUUCCUGACCAGGACUUGGAGACUCCGCUCAGAGCAGCUCUUGAUUCUCCUGCUGUUCGGAGAUACCUGGUCUUCAACUCCACUCUCUUCCAUCUCAUAAUGGCCCCGAUGCUGUAUUUAGUGUUGUGGUGCGCCGUCUUCUCCACUCUGCACCUCUACAUCAGCGUCACAGAAUACUGGGUCCUCUGUCUCUGCGUCAGUCUGAUCUCCAUUUUCCUCACCACGGCCAUCAUCUUCUUCCUCCAUCGCAGCAACAACACCAUCAACAUGAACAUCGAUGUCCGGCUCAUCCAGGUGAACGAGAGGCUGGUGAAAUACAAUCUGCUGGUGGCUGUGGCCGACUGGGUGCAGAACUGCAAGGGGAACAUGCAGCUCUACUUUGUGUACUGGGACAUGACUCGGUGUCUGCGGUCACUGACUCAAACUUUUGAAGAGCAAAGCUUCAUAGAGAACAACGUUCAGAAUAAACUGAAGAGAAGGAUGUCCCAUCUCGUCUUGGUGGCUGAUGUUGCAGCCACGGAGGCUGACAGGUCAGAGGUGGAGCAGGGUCCUGAUGAGCACAGGCCCUUGCUUGGAAAUGAGGGCGGCAGCUCCUCCCAGUCCAGCCCUCACAAUGAUCCCAAGAUAACAAUGAACUAUAGCCUUAUUCCUGACGCACUUCUGCCUCCGCAGGUGAGUCGGCAAGUGUUUGAAAUGUGAGACAUUCUCUCAUCCACCUAUCGAGAAAGAGUUCCACUUCUGUCGAGUUAAAAAAAGAUGGUGAGGAGUAUUUUUGAGCCAGGUUUCCAGCACAUCUGAAGAUGAUGCAUGAAUGUUGGACAUCUCCACUGUAGCAUGGGGCAAAUCCAUGCUCAGGCCUUUGAACCCUAGAACUUAAAGGCCGCUCUGACAAUGAUUCCUGUGACUUUGGUUGUGACAAAUCAGGCCUGCGAUUCACAAUUUCGAAUCUCAUGAUCAAUAGUUAUAUUUAGAAAGAGUGGUUUGUUCUAGUCUGAUUUUAAGCAGCCCAUCUGAGUCUGAAGAAGAAGAUUCAUAUUUACGUAGAAAACUGGAGGAGUCUCCAAGGACUAUGAUGUUGGUUGAUGAUAAUCUAGGUGCCAGGUGACCAGACGGCGGGUCAGUCUUCAGACUCUGGCUUGACAAAACUGUGUGCUUGGAAAACAAACCUGUCUAGCCCCGACCCUAGGAUCAAUGAUGAGUCCUGUUUUAGAGCCUUAGGAAGCAGAGUUAGAAGGUGGAGAUGAAGGUACUGAGGUUGUCGUUGGGAGCGAGACACAGUCAGCGACGCCAGAUGGUUUGGACAUGUGGAGAGGACAGAGAGUUGGGCCAAGAAUAUUGGCGAUGGAAGAAGAGGAAGAAAACAAUGACGUUAGUAGGAAACUAAUCCUUGCCGUAGGUGGCGGCAUUUUUAGAUUUGAUGGAGGCGUUUUCAAAGCUACAAGAUCAGAUGACGAAUUCACACACAAGACUUGGAACUGUGCUUUCAUUCCCGCAUAGAAAAGUGAACCUUCGUCCUUGACUCAGGAUGAGUGCGCUUCAUCUUCACAGAACUAGCAGCAGCAGUUUGUGGAGGAAAGAAAAAUGAAUCAAUCAGAAGAAACCCAACAACUAUAUACAGUUCUUGUACCUAAAAAUGUCCUCCGAUCUCAAAAAUGACUCUUAAGAGUGAGAGAGCGGCUCAGCGAUGAGUGAGGGAGUAAGACGACGGCUAUUGCUUCUUCUCCAACCAGGAGACAUUUUAGGGCCAAAGCCUACCAGCUUCUAAUGACCUACAGCGCCGUUUACGUGAAGCUGCUGAUGUCAGAGAGGCUGUCAGGACCAUCACAUCACCGCCUGAGAGCCUGCAGGAAUCACUGCACCACUGCUCCAUUCUGCC